UAAUGGCAAUGUAACAGUUGCCUUAUCGUGCGCCGAGAGAAAGUUUAAGCAUGCUCACCAGUACCCUUCUGUAUUUUUACUUUUUGUGCUCACUUUAUUGGUCUCGUAUCUUAAUUUAAAGUUCUAACUAGCAAUAUCAUAUGAAAUUUAAUGUUGGACCUCUAAGACCUAAAUUUUCCACAAGAUGAGUAUUGGAGAAAUGUGGACGUAAAGCUAAAUGUGCUGUGAUAUAGAAAUGAUCAGAUCAUAUGGAUUGGAAAGUAGCUGCCAUAGAGAUAAACGAGAGGAAGUCACCACGAGAUGGUUUGGUCGUGUUCAACGUAGAUCUCUAACUGUUCUUGUAUGUAAUUAUGGCACUAUGAUGGGGAAUGAUGUAAACCUAAAGUUACAAAGAAGUAACUUGCUCAAAAGAUCUCAAAUUCCUCCAAUCCGUGAGGACUUACAGAAACAGAAAACAACAGAAGUAAAAAAGUUGGUACAUUUAUAUUAGGCAUGGUAUUUUUAUGAGUCUUGUUUGUAUGCUUAAAGAUUUAUAUGUCAAUUGAAAAUGUAGAGACAUUAAUUAUUAUAAGAACCCAGAUUGUUGAGUAUUGAAAUAAAAGGGGUAUAAAGGGGUCCAGAUGAAGCAAAGUGGUACUAUUAGGAUCAUGUACCAAUAAAAACUACCUUGGAAUUGAUGUAUUAUAGUUGUUUUAAAAAUAUUUUACAGUCCAUAGGACAUUCAUUAAACUUUGUAACUUUGAUUUCAUUCAACAUCAGUACAACUAUUAACUAGAAGUGUGUACUGAGAUUCCUCAUUUUUUCAUUCAUCUAUUUCAUUAUUUUACACCUAUUGAUCUUUCC
rnacentral:lncRNA from 1 species